AUUGAACGCUGGCGGCAUGCUUUACACAUGCAAGUCGAACGGUAACAGGUCUUCGGAUGCUGACGAGUGGCGAACGGGUGAGUAAUACAUCGGAACGUGCCUAGUAGUGGGGGAUAACUACUCGAAAGAGUAGCUAAUACCGCAUGAGAUCUACGGAUGAAAGCAGGGGACCUUCGGGCCUUGUGCUACUAGAGCGGCUGAUGGCAGAUUAGGUAGUUGGUGGGGUAAAGGCUUACCAAGCCUGCGAUCUGUAGCUGGUCUGAGAGGACGACCAGCCACACUGGGACUGAGACACGGCCCAGACUCCUACGGGAGGCAGCAGUGGGGAAUUUUGGACAAUGGGCGAAAGCCUGAUCCAGCAAUGCCGCGUGCAGGAUGAAGGCCCUCGGGUUGUAAACUGCUUUUGUACGGAACGAAAAGCCUGGGCUAAUAUCCCCGGGUCAUGACGGUACCGUAAGAAUAAGCACCGGCUAACUACGUG
rnacentral:rRNA from 1 species